CAGCAGUGAGGAAGGUGGGUAUGUUAAUAGCAUACUCAUUUGACGUUAGCUGCAGAAGAAGCACCGGCUAACUCCGUGCCAGCAGCCGCGGUAAUACGGAGGGUGCGAGCGUUAAUCGGAAUUACUGGGCGUAAAGCGCAUGCAGGUGGUUUGUUAAGUCAGAUGUGAAAGCCCGGGGCUCAACCUCGGAAUUGCAUUUGAAACUGGCAAACUAGAGUACUGUAGAGGGGGUAGAAUUUCAGGUGUAGCGGUGAAAUGCGUAGAGAUCUGAAGGAAUACCGGUGGCGAAGGCGGCCCCCUGGACAGAUACUGACACUCAGAUGCGAAAGCCGUGGGGACGCUAAACAGGACUUAGAUACCCCUGGUAG
rnacentral:rRNA from 1 species